UCCUUACAUGUGCUCCUUCAGGAGUUGAUGGCGACUACUUCAGACUUCUGUUGCCAGGCACUUACACUGUAACAGCCUCUGCACCCGGUUACCUCCCUUUCACCAGCACUGUCACAGUGGGACCAGCUGAGGCCAUACAGCUUCAUUUUUACUUGAAACCAGCACCAAAACAAAACCUGAAGGUGAAGCCGCACCACGGCAGGAGGAACCUCUCAUCUCCUAAAGCUCCCUUGAAGCUUGGCCCAAGAUGAGGCACGGACAAUCAUUUAGAGGGCACACAGUCAUAAACAAAUACACAGAAGAGCUCGUACAAAAAACAUACACAUGCAUACGCAUAUGAAUUAUGUAAAUGAUACACAACCUUAACAUACCUUUGUAGUCCUAGCGUCUAUUUCCUUUUUGGGUUUUGUUUUUCUGUAUCAAGAAACUGUUGAAAGGCUGGUGUAUUUAUCCAACAGUUUUAAUUUGUAUGAACACAGCUAGCCUGUAUUUGUAAAGGAUAUUUUUUUGGUUUUGAUUACAAUAAUUUGAUGGUAAGUGAAAAUGAAAUUAAAGAAAUGUUUUUACCAUCUGUA